UGGAAUAAUUCUUAUUCUUUUCAGAAGAACUUCACAAAGCUCUGUUUAAUGUCCAGCCAAACUCAGAAAGUAUGAUUGUAUCUGAUAUCUUUUGUUUCUCUUUAAAGUAAAUGGGAGGUCUGUUACAGGUUAUUAUAUUUAUUCCACUAUAUAAUGAAGAUUGGAUUAUAGAAUGUACAACCAAACAAGAAUUAUUGGUUCAAGAGGAGAUUGCAAACUUGAAGAGUAUGGAUUUCACCAUUCGCCUUUUUAUUUGAGAUCACUUUACAAUGUCAAAACGAAGGUUUUGAACAGGGCACUGAGAAGGUCCUUAAAAUUUAAGGUUGCUGUACCUUCUCUGGGAAAUUUUGAUGCUGUGUCUGGUCUCUUGCUCAGCAGAUUGGACCACAAUGGUGGUAGGAAGGAGAAUCAGAAGGAUCAUCUUAAGGCUUCAGUUACAUAAUGUAGUGCUGCUGUAAAAAUAAUCCAGAUUUGUAGCUUGUAUUUGCAUUCAAUUUCCUGCUCUUACACUUUUUAAUAAAAUGUACAACUUUGUAUGUAGUUCUUUGAAU
rnacentral:lncRNA from 1 species